UAAGAUUGACCCACAUGAACAUCAAGAGAUGAAUAAGUAUUCUGCAUCGUAUGAGUGCCUUCAACUUCAACAAGCUUCAUCUCAUGAUCUUGAACCCUGAAAUUCAGCGAAUGCUGAAGCCCCACAUUCGUUAUUCUCAACCUGUAAGUCUUACCUACAACAACAACAACAACAAAAAGAACCCCAAAAUAUUAACUUCAAAUUGUUCCAUUCCAAUCGAAAAUCAGUACUAAAUCCAAAUCUCAAAUUACCCUUCUCAACAGUGAAAGUAGUAGCAUUCGGACCACGGCCAUUGAUAACAAUUCCAUUAGGGAAAGGGAGUUUGUGACCACGAUCCAAGAUGGUCUUCAAUGUCUGAUCAAAACAAACAAGAACACAAC
rnacentral:lncRNA from 1 species